rnacentral:misc_RNA from 1 species
GUGAAGAACUGAGCACAUCAGUGUGAUUAAGCCAGGCCUCCAUGCCCGUACGGGUAAAGUGGCAUCGGUCUAUCACUAAAAUUUUCAACAUAGUUUUUUGCACCCGGAAGUAGAUAAAGCACUUUCUUUCCCAGAAGGCGUUCCAUCAUAGAGAACUCCUGUGGGCGCUAAAUGCGAAAACUACGCGGCUUAAAAGGGCCAAUUCCCGCCUUUAGACGGAAAAAAAUAAAAAGGUUGAAAUUCAUUUUCUCUCAGGCAAGAAUGGCUUUUCAUCCGUAUACGUUACAGGACGACCUGUAAACGCUAUUCUCACCGGGGACGGCCCCAUUAAUUAUCUGGAGCCUGCUAUGUCCUGGAU